ACGCUAUUUGGUGGAUAUCUCGGCUUGGGCACCGAUGAAGAGCGUGACAAGCUGCGAUAAGCUCGGGUUAGCCGCACGUAGGCGCUGACCCCGAGAUGCUCGAAUGGGACAUCCCCUUGCGGCCCAAUAAUCCGCAAGAUUCCCGGCAGGGAAGGGGAACCCUGGGAAGUAAAACAUUUUAGUACCAGGAGGAAAAGAAAACAAUAGUGAUUCCGUGAGUAACGGCGAGCGAAAGCGGAAGAGAUCAAACCGAAUCCCGUGGGAAACCACGCGGAGAUGUGGUGUGUGGACCCCACACGACCUCCCCAACGAAGGUGAACACUCCUGGAAUGUUGGGCCAUAGAGCGUGAUAGCCGCGUAACCGUAAGUUGGAAGGUUGAUGUGGGACCUCCCGAGUAGUGCGGGAUGGUUUUCUCGUACGAACGAGCCAGAUACACGCUGGCAAAUCUAAACAUGCCCCAAGACCGAUAGCGCACUAGUAGCGUGAGCAAAAGAUGAAAAGAAACCCGGAAGGGUCGUGAAAAGCGCUUGAAACCAAAUAGCUACAUAAGGAUGCGGCCCGAAAGGACAGAUUCUGGGCGAAUGAGUUCCGGUGACGGAACAUCAAAGCCCAGAGGACUAGGGUUGCAUCAUCAGUCUGGAAUCAUUGGCCAGGGAGUUCAUGGUAGUGGCGAGCUUAAGCGUCUCGCGGCGCGUAGGCUUAGGGAAACCGAUAUUCCCGCAACCCAAUUAUCACAUUAGGAAGACCCGCCAUCCUAGGAGCGGUUCUGCCACUCCAAAGGAUGUCGGUGAAUCCUUCUAAGGGAUUGGGCCAGGGGAAUGGUCUAAAAGGGCCUAAAGUCGCUGCCAUGAGACCCGAAGCCGGUCGAUCUAUUCCUGGGCAAGAUGAAGUCGUUCGAAAGGACGAUGGAGGUCUGCACCAGUGCUGACGUGCAAUUCGCUUGGAUGACCUGGGAAUAGGAGCAAAAGGCUAAUCUAGACCGGUAAUAGCUGGUUCUCCCCGAAGUUGGUCUCAGCCAAGCCUUGGGCGAGGCUGCCAGUGGUGUAGAGCACUAAUUGUGAAGUACGGGGAAGAAAUUCCUCGCUUCACUCUUAAACUCCGAAGCUGCUGGCACCGUAGACCCCAGGAGACGGGUUGGGGGGCGUAAAGUCCUCCGCCGAGAAGGGAACAACCUAGACUUGGGUUAAGGUCCCUAAGUGCAGGUUAAGUGCUAAACUGAAGGGCGUCGUGUUUCUAAGACAGCAAAAGGGUAAGUAUAGAAGUAGCUACCCCCUAACGAGUGUGUAACAACUCAUUUGCCGAGAAACACGGCCCCGAAAAUGGACGGGGCUCAAACCUGCCACCGAGACCCAAGGGCACGGGCAGAAAAACCCCGUGAUCCGGUAGGGGAGCGUCCGGGUUGGACAGAAGCAGGGGCGUGAGCUCCUGUGGACCGGCCCGGAGUGCAGAUCCUGGCGAGAGUAAAAGCUAAGAUGGGUUAGAAUCCCAUCCGCCGAAAGGGCAAGGGUUUCUUCGCAAUGCGUCGUCAGCGAAGAGUUAGUCGGUCCUAAGCGCACCCUUAACCGAAGUGCGCGAAAGGGAAACAGGUCUAUAUUCCUGUACCACGGCGCUACGAAUAGCGGUAACGCAAGGCUCCGUGCGGACGGUUCCGGGUAGGUGGAGUAGGGCCGUCGAAUAUCUCCCUACUUAAAUGUAAUAAGGCUGGUAAAUAGCGUAACGCUUAGACCCAGCCCAAAGCAUGAAUAGCCCUCCAAUUGUGGAAGGUUCCGCCAAUCCCAGGACCUAUUAAAAACGCACGAGCAAGAAACGCCGUGCCCGUACCCAGAACCGACAGGUUGGGCAACAACUAUUUAUCCGCCCAAUCCGGGAAACAGGUGCCCCUAGGUGAGCAGCCUAAGGCGUAUUCGUGUAAAGGAGGCUAGGGAAAUCGACAAAUUAGAGCCGUAACCUCGGGAUAAGGCUUGCUUGAGGACUUCCACGCGCAGCCCUCGUCGGCAGUGCGCGGGGGCCCUUAAGUCGCAGUGACUCGGGGGGGACGACUGUUUAAUAAAAACAUAGGUUCCUGAUAGCCCGAAAGGGUGUCUACAGGAGCUGAAACCUGGCCAGUGGCAGUCGGUCAAAGCGGGUUACAACCCGUCGAAGCCCUGCUAAACGCCGGGAGUAACUAUAUCUCUCUUAACGGGGGUGCCUAAAUCUUUUAGCUGGUUCACCAGAUCAGCAAAUCGGGCGCACUCCUGGGAGAUAGGUAGCCAAAUGCCUUGCCUGGUAAGUUCAGGCGUGCAUGAAUGGUCCAAUGUUCUCCCCAUUGUCCCAGCCUCCUGACGAUUGAAAUCGCGCUCCGGCGAACGGACCGGAGAAGCCCAGCGGGACGAGAAGACCCCAUGGAGUUUUACUGCAACCAGAUCCUGUGGUCUUGGGCUGGAUACAGAGAGUAGUCGGGAGCGUAGAACCCGUGAUUUCGGUCACGGGGGAGCGCCAAUGGAACACCGGCUUUCCUUCCUGAGGUCACUAACGCCACGCUGGUGGCGGACAAGAUCUGGCGGGCAGUUUGGCUGGGGCGGCUCUCUCUAGAAAAGAUAUCUAGAGAAACCAAAGGUCAGCUCAGGCGGGUCAGGAAUCCGCUGAAGAGUUUAAGAGCAAAAGCUGGCCUGACUGGACCCUGAUCACGAAGGGGUCCUGAGGCUAACGCCUGGUCUAGCGAUCCUUAGCUGGCCUCGUGUGGGCGGCUGAGGUGAUAGAAAAAUUACCCCGGGGGUAUGUACGGAAAUACUAAGUGCCGAAUUCUUAAAAUGUAUUAAAUGCCAUGGAUUUUUAAAUCAAAUAGAUUAAUAAUAUUAUAUUAUAAUGCCAAGAUUUACUUCAAGAUUAGAUUUCUGGUACUUGUGCGGUGCUGCUGAAGAUGCCCAUGUUGAAUGUGAUCAUGAUAAGUAUAAUUACGAAUUUGACAUGGAGUCCAUCUCAUUAGGUUGG
rnacentral:rRNA from 1 species